GCACGCGCCACUGUUCAAUUUCUCAAAUCAGUUUUAGCUGUUUACGCUAUUCCUAAGGAUGUUUUGCCAUAAAAAAAUAAUGAUGAGUAGCAUUAUUACUAGCAAUGCGGACAGCCUUCUGUUGAAAAAAGCAGCCGUUUUAAUCACUGGAAGUUAGAAUCUCCAAAGAAUGCGUUUAAGAUGACAGGGCUCGAGAGCAUGACGUCAUGACGGAUCCUCCCACAGGCGGAAGUUUUGGACGCGCAGACAGACAGUGUGGAGACGAGUAGGAUUUCUGAUCUAAUGCUGGCGGUAGCGCAUGAAUACUAGAAUAAUGCAACGACGACUUAGUUUGCCUACUAAAAUAUGCUUCAUUAGACGCCACUGGAAAUCUUUUUUAUAUUACCAUCUUUAUAGAAAAUAAAGGGAUUGUGUCUGUAAACGUUCAUACCUGUCGUAUCACAUCGGAGCGCGUGUGUAAUGUAAGGUAAAGUGGUUCGUUGUGGUCUCUUUUGACAAAUUUCAUGAUAGAAAAUGCUUUGUAAUGCAUGUUUAACAGAUGUAAAAUAAUAAACGGGUUUUUGUAUUAUUA